rnacentral:rRNA from 1 species
AUGUACACCGGUGACAAGCAGAAGACCCAGGAUUUGUACCACGAGGUCCAAAACAUUGCUUUUCCCAAGAACAAGUCGGACCCGCUGCUACGUGAGUGGGUCAAGCCUGGGAGCAACCCGAUCAUCGUGCCGGAGGGCGGCAUCAACGACACGAAGUUCCGGGACCCGACCACCGCGUGGCAUGCCGAAGGCCACUGGAGCCGUGACUUCAAGCGGUGGACGCGGGUGAGGAAGCCUCUACACUCAGGGCCACGGGGAUGUGGGAAUGCCCCGACUUCUACCCGGUCGCCGUGGAUGGCUGGCAGUACGGGCUCGACACGUCGGUGCCCUCCAGCAAGCACGUGCUGA